GAUGAAGAACGCAGCGAAAUGCGAUAAGUAGUGUGAAUUGCAGAAUUCAGUGAAUCAUCGAAUCUUUGAACGCACAUUGCGCCCCUUGGUAUUCAGGGGCAUGCCUGUUCGAGCGUCAUUAUAACCCCUCAAGCUCAGCUUGGUGUUGGGGCCUGCUGCACUGGCAGCCCUUAAAAUCAGUGGCGGCGCCAUCUGGCUCUAAGCGUAGUAAUUCUUCUCGCUAUGGAGUCCUGGUGGAUGCUUGCCAUCAACCCCCAAUUUUUCUAUGGUUGACCUCGGAUCAGGUAGGGAUACCCGCUGAACUUAAGCAUAUCAAUAAGCGGAGGA
rnacentral:misc_RNA from 1 species